UUUAUUUUAUUUUAUUUUAUUAAGGUUUAUUUAGUUUUAUUUAUUUUAUUAAGGUUUAUUUAUUUUAUAAAUAUAAAAAAUGAACAUAGAUGCACUUAUAGAGAAAAUUCAACCUAAAUUCAUACUAAAUUUCUAUGAAAUUUAGUAUGAAUUUAAGUCAAAUUUCCUGUAUAAGGGCAUCUAUUUUCACUUUAAUAGAAGCUCAACAAGGCAUAGAGGGACGGGCUUAUAAACUGGUGUGAGCGCCCUUUGGUUGGCGAGGUGGGACUAAACACUGGCCGCAACUAGGACCAGCCCUUUAGUCCCGGUUUGUGGUAUGAACCGGGACUAAAGGGUGGUGGGCCAGGAGCGUGGCCCAUUGGUCCUGGUUUGUACCACCAACCGGGACCAAAGGGUCCAUACAAACCGGGACCAAUGCCCACGAGGCCCCGGCCGGCCCCCUGGGCUCACGAACCGGGACCAAUGCUCACAUUAGUCCCGGUUUGUGACUGAACCGGGGCUAAUGUGAAAACUGCCUUGUGACCUAA
rnacentral:lncRNA from 1 species